UAAUAUAUACCGUAGCUCAAAUUUCCCCCUCGCAUCGAUCAUUCUUUAGAAGAGGAGGGGAAACCCUCGCCUGCAUCUCUGCAGCCGCCACCCCCUUUCUUGAUAUGCUCAUCAAAGAUCAGAUCCGCCACCGUGUGCCACCGCCUUCGUGCUCCAUCGAAUCUAUCUCGUGUAGAUGUUAGACCUCCACUAUUAAGUUAAUCUAGGGCGGCCGGUGAAGGCGGCGCCACCGCUGCCGUCGCGGACAACGGCGAAGAGGUAGGGGUUGAUGCGGCCUGCGGGUGCUGCGGCAGGUGUGUGCGUGUGCGAUGGGUGGGGUAACUGGGUGUAUGGGGUUCCGUGGAUCCAUCUGAUCCAGAAGGCAGGCAGCAUCCUGCUCAACGCCAAUCCGCUCUUUCAGGCCAUACUUAUUUGUAGAGUACACAACCGUGUGAAACCAGUGUCGAUGGGAAUACCAGUUGAUAAGAGGCUACGCAUAUUGGAAGGACACAAAAAAUGUAUGCUAAAGAACAUCAGGGUUGUGUACCAAGCUAGGAGAUUACUAAGCAGCAAUGUCCUGAAAAUAUUGGCAAAGAGAGCUAUGUCAAUUCAUCUUUAGGACGUCGGUGCAUAACUGUCAUAGAUGCUUUGGGGGAUGUUAUUGCUUGGCCUAGGUUCUGUGUAAAAUCUGGAGCUAAAUAGGACUGAAAUGAAUGAAGAUGGAGAGGGCAAAGCAUUUGUUUCCGCCUCGAUAAAUCAAUGGAGGGAUAUUUGCUGUCAUUUUUGAGAGAUAAUUGUUAUAUAGGAUUUUUAUGAUUUUUCUGUUCAGGAUCUUUCCCGAUGUAUCUGUGAAUUAUUGAUAUGAAUAUUCUAUUCAGUUUUGAAUUUCUUUUA